AUACUUACCUGGCAGGGGAGAUACCUUGAUCAUGGUGGUGGUUUUUUCCAGGGUGAGACUUGUCCAUUGCACUCCAAGUAUGUCAACCCCUGCAAUUUCCCCAAAUGCAGGAAACUCGACUGCAUAAUUUGUAGUACUGGGGGACUACAUUAGUGCUUUCUCAGG